CUCCUACGGGAGGCAGCAGUGGGGAAUAUUGGGCAAUGGGCGCAAGCCUGACCCAGCAACGCCGCGUGAAGGAAGAAGGCUUUCGGGUUGUAAACUUCUUUUAAGAGGGAAGAGCAGAAGACUGUACCUCUAGAAUAAGCCACGGCUAACUACGUGCCAGCAGCCGCGGUAAUACGUAGGUGGCAAGCGUUGUCCGGAUUUACUGGGUGUAAAGGGCGUGCAGCCGGGAAUGCAAGUCAGAUGUGAAAUCCAUGGGCUUAACCCAUGAACUGCAUUUGAAACUGUAUUUCUUGAGUACUGGAGAGGCAAUCGGAAUUCCUAGUGUAGCGGUGAAAUGCGUAGAUAUUAGGAGGAACACCAGUGGCGAAGGCGGAUUGCUGGACAGCAACUGACGGUGAGGCGCGAAAGUGUGGGGAGCAAACAGGAUUAGAUACCCUGGUAGUCCACACUGUAAACGAUGAAUACUAGGUGUGCGGGGACUGACCCCCUGCGUGCCGCAGUUAACACAAUAAG
rnacentral:rRNA from 1 species